rnacentral:lncRNA from 1 species
GAGGGCUGGAUAUUUUACUACCAACGCCAAGAUAAUUCACUCUACUCAGCCAGCAUGGCGAAUAUAAAACGUACGGAGCGUGGCUGUGCGCUCACCAGCUGCUGCUCUGAGUUAUGUUAAAAUCCGCUAGAGCAGCCCAAAUUUUUCUCAGUUUGUAUAGAGUUCAUCCCAGCCCCAAUUUUCUGGGGCUCCUCACAUCCAAAAGAGAAGAAAAAUUAAGACAAGCCUGGCAACACAUCUGGUGAAGAGUAGUUUACUAGCUUUUCAAACAAGAAUGUCCCAUUUCCUAAGUCACUUCCAGGUUUCUUAAUCUGAUCUGAGUGAGAGGCGAGAGGAGUAUUUUUUUUUUUUUUUUACAGCUUUAUAUACAUAGCCGUGGGCUUUGAUUUCCAAAUAAUAUAAUGGAAGAGAAAUCUCAUACUCCCCCACAGUUUGAUGUCAUUAAUGUGUUGGGAAAAAGGCCUCUGUCCUGGAAGAGUCAUGGGAGGUUAAAGGGGCACGUUUGAAGAUGCGAGCGCUAUCUUCACAUAGUUUUCCGGUUGUAUGGAGCCUCUUCUGCCAAGAGAGGACCAUGCAAUUCAUCCCAGAGGAACCUGAGGCCUGAAGGAGGCGAGAGAAGACCUCUGUUAGGAAAGCACACAGUUACCUUCUCGGCAACUAAGCAAUCCAUGAGACCAUUUAACACGCAACCCAAAGGUUACGGUCAAUCCCAAAAGUCACCACUUUAUUCCCAACUAGACAUUAUUAGACUAGACCUCAGGUCACUUUGUUUACCUACUCAGAGAUUGGCUUCUCAUCCCCAGUCCCAGUGCACACCCAUUUCCAAGAAAUGCUUUGUCUCCAGCCUCUCCAGGUACCAUCUCCCUUCCUGUGGGAGCACAGAGCUUAGCCUGGAGCACCUCUCCUUCAAGCCAGCAACACAGAGCACUAGGUUCAAUUCCCUGAAGGUGGCCACUUUAAGAGAGAAACCUGAAAACCCCAUUUGCUUUCUUUUCUCCCAUAUUGGCAUGGAUUUCUGUAUUCUCUAACACCUUGUGACCUUCUCUAUAUCAUGCUUUAAAGUGUAAUAAUAUGAUUUUUUAAAAGAAAUUUAUUACUUGUUGCAAAGGUCUUUUUAAACCAGUUUAGAUUUCAAGAAAAAAUAAAUGGAAAUCAUUGGAAAUUCAUUUCACAUUAAUGGUCUGAAAAUAAACCAAAGGACAUUAUGUGUGCAUGUGUGUAUAAGUGCACACAGAAAUAUAUAUACAUAUGUAGACUAUAUACAUGUGUGUAUAUAUGUGUAUAUAUACAUACACUUGUAUAAAUGUAUAUACACAUAUACCUAUAAUGUGUGUAUGUGUAUUUAUUGAAGAAACAGAUACCAUAUUCAUCUCUAAAAUAAUAUUCAGAGAAUAUCAAGAUGAUUCUGGCUGAAGAAAAAGGCCAGUGGAAAUUCAGGUGAAAAUAUUCAUCGAUUCCCAUUGCAUCACCUCUGUAAUUUUGCAGCUCUCUGUAUAAACAUUAAAUGUCUUAUAUAGCAGCAAAAAUAUAAAA